rnacentral:rRNA from 1 species
CCUUUGUACACACCGCCCGUCGCUCCUACCGAUUGAAUGGUCCGGUGAGGCUUUCGGACUGGCCCAGGGAGGUCGGCAACAACCACCCAGGGCCGGAAAGUUAUCCAAACUCGGUCAUUUAGAGG